rnacentral:rRNA from 1 species
AGUGAACGCUGGCGGUAGGCCUAACACAUGCAAGUCGAACGGCAGCACAGUAAGAGCUUGCUCUUACGGGUGGCGAGUGGCGGACGGGUGAGGAAUACAUCGGAAUCUACUUUUUCGUGGGGGAUAACGUAGGGAAACUUACGCUAAUACCGCAUACGACCUACGGGUGAAAGCAGGGGAUCUUCGGACCUUGCGCGAUUGAAUGAGCCGAUGUCGGAUUAGCUAGUUGGCGGGGUAAAGGCCCACCAAGGCGACGAUCCGUAGCUGGUCUGAGAGGAUGAUCAGCCACACUGGAACUGAGACACGGUCCAGACUCCUACGGGAGUCAGCAGUGGGGAAUAUUGGACACAGGGCGCAAGCCUGAUCCAGCCAUACCGCGUGGGUGAAGAAGGCCUUCGGGUUGUAAAGCCCUUUUGUUGGGAAAGAAAAGCAGCAGGUUAAUACCCCGCUGUUCUGACGGUACCCAAAGAAUAAGCACCGGCUAACUUCGUG